rnacentral:rRNA from 1 species
GACGAACGCUGGCGGCGUGCCUAAUACAUGCAAGUCGAACGCUGAAGGAGGAGCUUGCUUCUCUGGAUGAGUUGCGAACGGGUGAGUAACGCGUAGGUAACCUGCCUGGUAGCGGGGGAUAACUAUUGGAAACGAUAGCUAAUACCGCAUAAGAGUAGAUGUUGCAUGACAUUUGCUUAAAAGGUGCAAUUGCAUCACUACCAGAUGGACCUGCGUUGUAUGGGCUAGUUGGUGGGGUAACGGCUUACCAAGGCGACGAUACAUAGCCGACCUGAGAGGGUGAUCGGCCACACUGGGACUGAGACACGGCCCAGACGCCUACGGAAGGCAGCAGUAGGGAAUCUUCGGCAAUGGGCGGAAGUCUGACCGAGCAACGCCGCGUGAGUGAAGAAGGUUGUCGGAUCGUAAAGCUCUGUUGUAAGAGAAGAACGAGUGUGAGAGUGGAAAGUUCACACUGUGACGGUAUCUUACCAGAAAGGGACGGCUAACUACGUG